AUUACAACUGAAAGUCCCGCUAAAUCAGUUUAAUACCUCCUAACUGACUUUUACAUUUUUACUCAUAUGCCCUCGGUUCAUUUUACAAGAAAUACCUAACAUUUCUGAUUAUCUACCACAGCUUGAUCAUGGUGAAAGAUGAUUUUGGUAGAGUUUUUGCACUUGAGAUGGGAAUGGGGGAAGUUGCAUUCUAUCUGUUUGUGAAAUUAACGCAGUGGCUUCUACCUUUCUCAGGUAUUUUUGUGGAUAAAUCCAUUCUCUCUUAAAAUUUUGAUAGAAAUGAAUUUGAAUAAGAGCUAUAGAAGAUCAGAACAAAUUGCAUUGGAUGGUUAUACAUUCGUAUAAAUGAGUUUAACAAUGUAAUUUUCUUUAUAAGGUUCUUGAAAUCCAUGCGAUAAUAUCAACUGUUAUGCUGCUUUUAAUUUCAUUUUCUUUCUCCUUUUCUGCUAAAUUAGUAACAUGUACAAGUGAAAAGGGCAACAAAAUAUAUACAAGUAAUGGCAACUACUUUGGGUCUAAAUAUGUAAUAGAGAAUCUAUUGGAUAGAGACAAUCUAUUGAUGUUAAAGGAGCCAAGCUAUGUACAUUGCACUGCCACCAUUGUAUCCUAAUGCAUGUCACAAUCUUCUCUCUAUUCAAACAUCAAACCAAAAGGACAAAACUAUGAGCUUAAUUUACAAAUAGCUUUCUUGAUGGGGGGACAUGGGCUUUUGGAAAAAGGAUAAUUAACACAGAACAACUCUCACAAAUCUCAAUCAAUUCUAAUAAUUCAACGUAUCAAAAUAAUAAUGUACUUCACUAUUUAUAAUACUCCUAGACAACUUUCAAUACCUGAAUUGAACUCUAAUAAGAUAACUAUAAAUUAAAGGAAUUAAUUAAAAUACAACUUCUAGGCUAUGUUUGUUUGCAAGGAUUAUAAUUAUAAUGUCAAGACUAUUAAGCCAUUUUAUAAUCCCGAGACUAAUAGUCUAAGUCUAAAUUUGAAAACAAACAAGACACUUGAGAUUAAUAGUCAUAUCCCAAGUAAAAUCAUUGCAAACAAACAUAGCCCUAAUAUAUGGGCUACCAAAGCCUUUUAUAUUGUUCUAACCAGGUCUCAUGGCGGGCUUGUCCUACAUCAGUUCUAUUUAGCCGAGAAAAAAGUCGACUUUGUCCAGUUAUGAACAUUAACACAAGAACAAUCACGUCGGAUCACAAAGGAAUUUUUUACAAGCUUCAAAUUGGGCAUGUCGAGAGCACAAGUAAGAGUGAAAUUAGUAUUGCCCUUAACAAUUGAAUUAGUAAUGGCCUGAGUAUCAUGUUGUGCGUGACAAACCCAUAACCAUUUGCGCCCUAAGAUAAUGUGACAAACCUUUAAGUGGUAGAACAUCACAUUACGAUAUCCUUAAGCUUGCCAACAACAAAUGUAACCAAACACCUUUGAGUAACCUGCAACUUUCUAUUGGUAAUCCAUGCAAGAUAAUAUUGUAGAUCAACACUAAGCCUCUGUUUUUAUUAUAAAGUACAACUUUAUACACUACAAUAUCAUACGGCACCGGGGUGAUGCUCAACUUUUAACCCAAGUUUCUUGCUUCCUCAUAGAUAACAUAUGUAAAACUCCCAGUAUCAAUCAAAAGAGAGCAUACAUGUCCCUCACAUUUGACUCUUGUUUGAAUUUGGGAUGAAUUUGGUUGGAUACUGUAUUGAUAAUGCUAGUUUGGGACAAAAGUUUUGUUGGUGGCAGCGACUGGUGUGGGUGAUAUGUCAGUGCUUCGUCUUGGGGUCUGGGGGGAUGGUUGAGGGUUGGAUUGAAUUUAGCUAUGAUAUCAAAAAUGAUGGGGGCUAGGGGUUUUGGAAAAAGGAUAGUUAUCACACAGAACAAUUUUCACAAAUCUCAAUCAAUUCUAAUAAUUCAAUGUAUCAAACUAAUAAAGUACAUUACUAUUUAUAAUACUCCUAGAUAACUUACCUAACCAAAAUUGGACUCUAAUAAGUUAACUUCAAAUUAAAUAAGAUAACUACAAAUUAAAGAUUAAAAUACAACUUCUAAUUUAUGAGCUUUCAAAGCCUUUUAUAAUGUUCUAACCAAGUCUCGGGCUUGUCCGACAUUAUUUCUUGGCAUAAUUAUGAGUAUACAGUUUUAAUGCAAGCUAUGAAUACAUACAGGGUGAAAAAUUAAAAGAAUUAUAUACAUGUGCAAAAAAAGGCACCAAAAGUAUAGAAAAACUAAUACCUAGGGGAGACCAAUGUAUUACUUUCACUGGAUGAAGAAAAAUGAGACAGGUUAUGACUAUUUGAUUCAACUUGUAUCCUUUCAGUGAAAAAACCAGGCUGCUUAGGCUGAGGCAGUUCAAUUUCACUACUCAACAUCAGAACCACAAAUGACAUGUUUGGUCUGUCUUCGGGGUAUGGUUGCACACAUAAUAAUCCGAUUUGUAUUGCUCGAAACACUUCUAACUGAUUACAUGACUCCACAAUUGAACCGGUAAUUAGUUCUAAAAACUCGCCUGCUGUAUAAAGUCUCCAUGCCUGUACAGUAAUUGGAUAUUAAUUUUAUUGGUAGCUAUUAAACCAUGAAAUAUUGACAUUAGGACACAUUAUUCUUGGCACUUACAUGACCAAGAAGGUUAUGGCUGGGAUCUGGAUCAUAGAACCCUGUCAUUUUCUUCCCGCUAACUAUCUCUAGCAAUAAUACACCGAAGCUAUAAACAUCAGAUUUAACUGAGAAUAUUCCAUCAAGGGCAUACUCGGGAGACAUGUAACCACUGCAAGAUAAUUUAAAAAAAAAUCAAUUUCAAAGAAAUAUUGGAAUUAGAAGGUGUGAACUGUUGCAGAGAUUCUUACAAUGUUCCAACCACUUUUGUUGUAUUUGUUAUCCUUCCACUUCCUCCAAAACUUCUAGCCAUGCCAAAAUCUGAAAUUUUUGGAUUCAUCUCAUAAUCAAGCAAAAUAUUGCUUGCUUUUAGAUCUCUAUGAAUGAUUCUCACUAUGGAGUCCUGGUGGAGAUAGAGAAGCCCUCUAGCGACACCAUUUAUGAUGUUAUAGCGCUUUGACCAGUCCAAAAACUUGCUUAGAUAUUUAUCUGUCCAAUUUUUUGUACAAGUUAAUUUAUGUUGCUAUACUUUUGCAUUAUAUCAGUGAGUAAUUUCUUGGGAAAGUAAUUUGAAGGCAACAGUAUUUCAGACUCAAAAUUUAAGCAACAUAUGAACACGUCGAGAUAAAACGUACCAAAAAUAAAGGAAUCUAAGCUUUUGUUGGGCAUGUAUUCAUAAAUCAAUAACAUUUCCCCUUCCCCAAUGCAGCAUCCUAGAAGUCUCACAAGAUUUCGGUGCCGAAGUUUGGCUAUGUACGAAACUUCAUUUUUGAACUCAUCUAAUCCCUGUCUUGAAUCCUUUGAGAGCCUCUUUACAGCUAUUUCUCGUCCCUCAUCCAAGAUGCCCUGAAAACAAUCAUGGUGAUAGUUUCAUAUUCUGUUCAGUGAAGUGUGACGUUUGGUCUUUCCUAUAUUCCAGUACCUUUAUACUCCAUAUUGAAUUUAGUCAGCUUUCAUAUCAUAAAAAUAGCACAACAAAUACCUACUUAACACACUAUGGGUAUGGCUAAUGAAAUACUAUAUGGCAGUAACACCUAGUUUUCUUCUUGAGAAUUAGGAGGCUACUGCUCUGUUCAAUGAUAAAUACCUCUUCCAUCAGAUACAAUACUCAAGCAAGCAAAGUUCUUACAAAAAAAUUAAAAUAAAAAAAUGAGCAAACUAUAUUUUAUCACCCCACUUGUAAGGGGAUCAUUCAUGGUACUUUGAUCAGAAUAAAAAUUCAGAGGUAGAGAUACUCCUGUAACAGUAGUUCUGAUUGACUUGUGAACAUCUAAUAUGAUGAAUUUUGCGCUUUAACUUUAAAAAUUUUUAUUUUACAGGGAAAGAAACUACUGAUAAACAACUGUUUUAUUUCCAUAUGGUGGUAUCUUGAUUAGGGCAUAGUCGCGUAGAAUGAAAUAUGUUGAUAUUAUUCUGCAAAGUUAUGACAUGAUUAUUACCUUGUAAACAGGUCCAAAGCCCCCCUCACCAAGCUUAUUGUUUUGGG
rnacentral:lncRNA from 1 species